rnacentral:rRNA from 1 species
CAGCCGCCGCGGUAAAACAGAGGAUGCAAGCGUUAUCCGGAAUGAUUGGGCGUAAAGCGUCUGUAGGUGGCUUUUCAAGUUCGCCGUCAAAUCCCAGGGCUCAACCCUGGACAGGUGGUGGAAACUACCAAGUUGGAGUACGGUAGGGGCAGAGGGAAUUUCUGGUGGAGCGGUGAAAUGCAUUGAGAUCGGAAAGAACACCAACGGCGAAAGCACUCUGCUGGGCCGACACUGACACUGAGAGACGAAAGCUAGGGGAGCAAAUGGGAUUAGAUACCCCCGUAGUCCCUGUCUCUAUACC